GUCCACAGCCAUACCACCUGAAUACACUCAAUCUCAUCUGAUCUCAGAAGCUAAGCAGGGUUGGGCCUGGUUAGUACUUGGAUGAGAAACUAAUUUAGUCA
rnacentral:rRNA from 1 species